rnacentral:rRNA from 1 species
GAUGAACGCUGGCGGCGUGCUUAACACAUGCAAGUCGAACGAGAAAUGGAGACGGAAACCUUCGGGCGGAAGGCUUCAUUUCGAGUGGCGGACGGGUGAGUAACGCGUGGGUAACCUGCCUCAUACAGGGGGAUAACAGUUGGAAACGACUGUUAAUACCGCAUAAGACCACAGCACCGCAUGGUGCGGGGGUAAAAACUCCGGUGGUAUGAGAUGGACCCGCGUUCGAUUAGCCAGUUGGCGGGGUAACGGCCCACCAAAGCGACGAUCGAUAGCCGAUCUGAGAGGAUGACCGGCCACAUUGGGACUGAGACACGGCCCAAACUCCUACGGGAAGCAGCAGUGGGGAAUAUUGCACAAUGGGGGAAACCCUGAUGCAGCGACGCCGCGUGAGUGAAGAAGUACUUCGGUAUGUAAAGCUCUAUCAGCAGGGAAGAAAUUGACGGUACCUGAGUAAGAAGCCCCGGCUAACUACGUG